CAGCCACCAAAUCGUCUCUGGACGCCCUGAGGAGGAGACUUCAUGUCCUCAAAUACCAGCCGUCCUCCUCGUCCUCCUCCUGCGGCGGCCAGUCAGCUCCUCCUCCUCUCUUCAGAGCCUCCAUCCAGCUCGCCAUCCCCAACAUCGUCCUCAGACCCAGCCUGGACGACAUCCAGAGCGCCGUGAACAGGCUGGUGAGCGCCGUGCUGUCCGUGACCAAAGACAUCCCUCUGUGGACGUACGCUCACCUGCAGUACAAACAGCAGCAGGUGGAGCAGGCGGCGGGCCGGGACGCGGGAGACGACAUCCCGGUGAAGCCGCCGGUGCUGAGGCCUCUGGACAGACAGCUGGCCGAGCACAGAGACGUCACCAAGUUGGUGAUCCAGCUGAGCUCCG